AGAGAGAGUCAGACUUUAGAUACUAUCGAUAGCACCAAGAAUCUGAUGCUAUCAAAUUUUUCACCGUUAGAUUUAAUUUUUUGAUUAUUUUUAUUCGUUAGAUUAAUUAUACUAUUCAACCAAAUCGACAAUCCACACCAUUAAAUAUGAUUUAGAGUAUUUGAAAUUUGUAGAAAAUAAAUUUUAUAAUUUUUCAAAAUUAUUAUAAAAUCCAUCAAAUGUGUAUAAAAUGAAUGGUCAAAAUCGAACGACGUCCUAAAAUUGGGUGAUUGGAUCUCUUAAUUUAAGAUCGGAGUUAUUAAUCUUUAUCUAGAUAGUGAAUAAAAUUUUCUAUAAAAAAUUCAACCGAAUUCUGAUUUCUUUACACCCUUAAAUUAACAAGUAUCUCAUACCGGUCGUUAAAAAUUAUCAAUUUUGAAAUUUUCUGAUCGUAUCAUAAAUGAUUUUAAAAAAUAUGAAAUUUAAUAUCUAAAAGUUUUAAAUACUCUAGAUAAUAUUUAACAGUAUACUUCAUCGAUUUGGAAACUCUAUCAUCGAAAACAACUUAUGAGUACGAAAGCGAUCGAACUCAUAAGAAUAUAGUAGCCGAACUCUCUCUCUCUUUCUCUCUCUCUCUCUCUCUCUCUCUCUCUCUCUCUAUAUGUAUAGAGUCCGAAAACUCAGCUUGGUACUAUUGAUAGUAUAGUAGUAUAAUUCUAUACAUAGAAUUAGACUAGAAUACUAUCAAUAGCACCAAGUUAUUUGUGUUAUUAGUUUUUUAAUCAUUGGAUUCAGAAAUGUGUUGUUAGGAUGAUAUGGGUCCCUAGGGUUGAGUGAGUGGUUGGUUGAAUAGUAUAAUCUAACGGAUAAAAAUAAUUAAAGGGUUAAAUCUAACGAUGGAAAACUCGAUAGCUUGAUGCUAUGGAUAGUAUCCCAGCCAGACUCUCUCUCUCUCUAUAUAU
rnacentral:lncRNA from 1 species